rnacentral:lncRNA from 1 species
CCAAAACGAAUAAAACCCAGUGUACCAGGGUUGAUAAGAAGUUAGAAUUUUUUGAUACAUUUCUCAGAGGAAAAGGUUCGUAUUCCAUACCAGGUGUAGCGCCUAGGGAGUUAAUCAGUCACAGGUGGUAGUGGAAUUCUUGUUUGUGGAUGAGACCACCUGGGGCUGGACAGGCUACUUAAUUUGUGAAGCCCAGUGCACAGUGAAAGGGCAUAGGGUCUUUGUUCAAAAAUUAGUCAUUUCAAGAUGGGAAAGUGGAGCACUGAUUUAAGGCUGGGGCCCGUCGAAGCAUGGGCCUUUUGCAAUUGCACAGGUUUCAUGCCCAUGAAACAGGGCAUGACUGCAGAGAGGAGAUGGAGUGAAAACGAGAGUUAAUUAGGGAAUCCUGGGAAAAAACUAACCUUUAUUGGGAAGGUAAAAGAGAAACCAGCAAAGACGGUGAUAUGGGGAGGUCUGCGAGGUGGAAAAAGUGUCAAGAGUGAAUAGUCUCUCAGGAGCCAAGAGAAGUCAUGCUUUUACAAAGAAACCACAAGGACAUUCCUAUGUAUCCUCGCACUUCCUGGACACUGGCAGAGAAUAUGUAUCUAAUUGCUGCAGGAUGUAGUCACUGGUCUCAUAUUACUAAAAGCCAAGUAAUACAUUGUGCCUGGAGCCUGGGCAGCCCCACCUGUUCCACCGAAGCAUGGGGAAAUGCCAAGAGAAUUUCAGAGGCAAUGGACCAGGCACCAACCCAGUUUAACAGCAAUUGAGUAAUUGAGACCCAUUAUUACACAAAUAUUGAAGGU